rnacentral:rRNA from 1 species
UACGGAAGGCAGCAGUGGGGAAUAUUGCACAAUGGGCGCAAGCCUGAUGCAGCCAUGCCGCGUGUAUGAAGAAGGCCUUCGGGUUGUAAAGUACUUUCAGCGGGGAGGAAGGCGAUGCGGUUAAUAACCGCGUCGAUUGACGUUACCCGCAGAAGAAGCACCGGCUAACUCCGUGCCAGCAGCCGCGGUAAUACGGAGGGUGCAAGCGUUAAUCGGAAUUACUGGGCGUAAAGCGCACGCAGGCGGUCUGUUAAGUCAGAUGUGAAAUCCCCGGGCUUAACCUGGGAACUGCAUUUUGAAACUGGCAGGCUUGAGUCUUGUAGAGGGGGUAGAAUUCCAGGUGUAGCGGUGAAAUGCGUAGAGAUCUGGAGGAAUACCGGUGGCGAAGGCGGCCCCUGGGACAAAGACUGACGCUCAGGU